rnacentral:rRNA from 1 species
AUUGAACGAUGGCGGCAUGCUUUACACAUGCAAGUCGAACGAGUGGCGAACGGGUGCGUAAUAUAUCGGAACGUACCGAGUAAUGGGGGAUAACCAAUCGAAAGAUUGGCUAAUACCGCAUAUUAUUCGAGCGGCCGAUAACUGAUUAGCUAGUUGGUGGGGUAAAGGCCUACCAAGGCGACGAUCAGUAGCGGGACUGAGAGGACGAUCCGGCACACGGGAACUGAGAAUAGGCCAAGGAUCGUUCGGGAGGGGGCAGGGGGGAAUGUGGGACAAUGGGGGCAGACCUGAUCCAGCCCUGCCGGGUGUAGGAGGAAGGCAUUCAGGUUUUAUAGUACUUUUGAUAGGUAAACGGUACCUAUAGAAUAAGCACCGGGUGACGACGUGCUGGCAGCCGCGGUAAUAC